rnacentral:rRNA from 1 species
UACGGAGGGUGCGAGCGUUGUCCGGAAUCACUGGGCGUAAAGGGCGCGUAGGUGGCGCAGGAAGUCAACGGUGAAAGUUCGGGGCUCAACCCUGAAUCGGCCGUCGAUACUCCUGGGCUCGAGCACUGUAGAGGCAGAUGGAAUUCCGGGUGUAGCGGUGGAAUGGCGUAGGAGAUCCGGAAGAACACCGGUGGCGAAGGCGGAUCUGCUGGG